GCGGCAGCGACCUGUCCACGCCACCUGAGCGUGGUGUUUGCCCCCUCGUUGGGCAAGCCCGGCAGAAAGUGGGAGCGACUGGAGGGGGCAAGGGACCCGGGGCCUCGGAGCGUGCCGUCGUGGCCGCUCCUGCCAGCCCGGGGACGGUGCGGGAAGGGGGCCCUGCCCUCCGGCCCUCGGGUUCCUGGGACCGGCCCUCCCGCCCUGCACCGGGUCACCAGGUGCCCCGCGGGAGCGCGCUGGGCUCGGGCUGUGGCCGAGACCUGGUACACGUUCGGGGAAACUGAUUACAGCUUGAAAGGCAUCCACCAACGCCUGCUGGGCCCGGUCUUCUCUGUCCGGGGCAGGGCGGCUCUGAAAAUACCAGCUAUUUGCUUGCCACUCCAGGCCGAUGACAGACGUGGAGAAAACCAGCUGCCAGCGAGCUGGAGACGCCCGUUCCCGAGGGCGCGAGGCAGCCACAGCCAAAUGCCACCACGACCCCGCCUCGGAGGGACCGCAGCCCCCUAGCCCUCGGAGAAACCCUGUUCCCGAAACCACCUGGCAGACGCUGUCCGCUUUGAGAUUACAGCAGGGAGAAGGAAACAUGCCCGUCUGGCCGGGGAGCUCAGCCACUAACCGAGACUUAGCCUCUGUCAUCCCAAUCCAGGCUGCAGCUCCAGAUAGGGGGCGUCUGCACACAGCUUCCCACACUUGGCCCCGCGGAACACAGUCCUGCUGGCCUCAGCCUGUGGGAACCCUGCUUCAUGUAAAGGUCACCUAAACUCUGCCUUCCCUCAACCCCUUCAAACUCUGCCUUUCCCUUCGUUCUUGGGAGGCGCUCCCUCAUUGCAGUGGGUCAGUACACCCGAUUUUGUGGACCACAGGUUUGCUCCUGGUGGUCUUGGGCUGAAGGGGCUGCAAAGGUUACUGAAUUUCGUGGAGGUAAAAAUUGCCCGCAGGAAAUGUCAUGAAAGUCCAGGUGCAGUAGGUUUCCUGGUGUGAUGCUUCAAAGUUAUCUUCUUACCUGGAGCCCCUUCCAGCUGCAGACUUCAGAGGUCGGAGGUUAAUCAAUCUGGAAUGACCCCACAGCCCACCCAGCUCCAGCUCGGGAUUCACUCCUGCACUAUGUCCUAGGGAUUCUGGAGCCAACAAGAUCGAACUUCGGGCACAGAUGGCAGGGCUGUGGGGUCGAGCUUGGCUGCAAGCUCCGAACACUGAUGCAAUCUCUCUGAGGGUGAUCUGGCAAUUCAGAAGUCAUAAAAAUGAUAGUGCCCUAUGACCACUUCUACCACUCUGGGGAAUUGAGUUCAAGGAAAGCUUAAGAAGACAAAAAGCAAGUUAUGCAAAUAUGUUAUCUGCUGUGGUGUGGUAAAGUUUAAUCCCCCAGCUGUGGUGCACACCUGGCAAAGAAUGGAGGCGCUGACACUUAUUGAUCAUUACUUGCAGUGUACACGUAUUAACUCCUGAUCCCUGCAAAUAGCCUGCUAUUACCCCCGCUUGACAAUGGAGAAGUUAUCUUACCCAGAUGUCAUUUCCUCUUCCUGGGAGCUGCCAUGGUCCUUCCCCUCUCCUGCAGCACUUAGUCCAAUACUGAAUCUUCAUGAUGUGACUCUUCAUAAUGCGCAUGGUUGACGCAGGAAGGAGCCCUCUCACCAUCAUGUCUCCUCACCUCCUCUGGCCGCUAAUAUUG
rnacentral:lncRNA from 1 species